rnacentral:lncRNA from 1 species
UUAAGUUGAGGAGAGCUGUUCACAAGCAGUGGUUAUGAGCUCUUUCUUGUUCCGGUUCAGAAGAGGCUGCGCACCUUCAGUUGCACUAGUGGAUUGAAUAACCUUUUUUUUUAGUGCCAACAAAGUGCAUGUGUUCUUGGUUAAUAAAAACACAAGUAUAGGCUGGAGGACUGAUACUAUAAGUAGGACAAAGGCCUUCAAAGAGAAAUGAAAGGAUUUUUUUAGCAUUUUUCCACUUUAUCCAAGGAAUCCCUUUCUUGGCAUUUGUAUUUGAGAGAGAGAGCUAUGCUUAGGUUAGCAUUUUUCCACUUUAUCUAAGGAAUCCCAUACUUGGCAUUUGUAUUUGAGAGAGAGAGCUAUGCUUAGGUCAGUUCCUUCAGUCAACUUUUUUG